ACGGAGGAUGCGAGCGUUAUCCGGAUUUAUUGGGUUUAAAGGGUGCGUAGGCUGUUAUGUAAGUCAGUGGUAAAAGGUACAGGCUUAACUUGUAUAUGCCAUUGAAACUGUAUAGCUAGGAUAUGGAUGAAGUGUGCGGAAUGUGUGGUGUAGCGGUGAAAUGCAUAGAUAUCACACAGAACACCGAUAGCGAAGGCAGCACACUAAGGCAAUAUUGACGCUGAGGCACGAAAGUGUGGGGAUCAAACAG
rnacentral:rRNA from 1 species